AUUGAACGCUGGCGGCAGGCCUAACACAUGCAAGUCGAACGGUAGCACAGAGGAGCUUGCUCCUCGGGUGACGAGUGGCGGACGGGUGAGUAAUGUCUGGGGAUCUGCCCGAUAGAGGGGGAUAACCACUGGAAACGGUGGCUAAUACCGCAUAACGUCGCAAGACCAAAGAGGGGGACCUUCGGGCCUCUCACUAGCGGAUGAACCCAGAUGGGAUUAGCUAGUAGGCGGGGUAACGGCCCACCUAGGCGACGAUCCUUAGCUGGUCUGAGAGGAUGACCAGCCACACUGGAACUGAGACACGGUCCAGACUCCUACGGGAGGCAGCAGAGGGGAAUAUUGCACAAUGGGCGCAAGCCUGAUGCAGCCAUGCCGCGUGUAUGAAGAAGGCCUUCGGGUUGUAAAGUACUUUCAGCGGGGAGGAAGGCGAUGUGGUUAAUAACCGCAUUGAUUGACGUUACCCGCAGAAGAAGCACCGGCUAACUCCGUGCCAGCCGCCGCAGUAA
rnacentral:rRNA from 1 species